CUCACACCCCCUCGCUUGGAUCAGAGCUCUAACUUCGGGGUAGCUUCAGUCCUUGUGCUAGAGAAAAACCCUGAGACAAGACAGGCUUAACUUGGUUGAACCCAGCUCCUCUUGGACUGUGUGUCUGGUUCUCUGCCCCCCAUGCUGGACAUGAAGUGGUGUCAUGCUGUGAAAAAAAUUAUUUACCAGUGCCACUACAGGGAACUAGGAGGAACAUGAAGAUUUGAUUGUUUUGGUCAGAGUUAGCUGCUCCUGAAAUGUAUCUUUACAGCUGACUGUUACUGAGGAGGUGCCUGGGAAAUAAAAUGGGAAGAAAAGCACCCCACCUUACAGUGGCAUUUUGGUCAUCUGAGAAAGGUGGAGUCAGCUUGGGCCAGCAGAAAAAGCCAAGAAUAUUUAAGAGCAUGGGAAAAAAGAUGCCCAUGUUUCUGAUGCUGGAUACCGGAUUCCUGAACACAUCCUGAAUACGCCAAGCAGCUGCAAAGAUUUCCAAGUUAUGAACUGAAAGUGAGUGACCAUGAAGUUGAGCAGAAUAACUGGAAGUCAAAAACAGAAGAUGCCAAGUAGCUUUGCUGGAAAUGGCAUCCCAGCAUUGUGCAGCUGUGUGACCAUGUAGAGGGCCAGGAUGAUCAGAAGUGAAUAAUGGUACUGUUACCCAAAUGAAACUUCUCCAUGUGUCAGACAGCAGGAACACCUUUGCAUUGUGCUGUGAAUGCCAAAUGUGACAACUUCAACACAAGUGAACAUGGAAUCACCUGUCACUCAUUUCUUCCAAGGAAAUCCAAGAGACAACACAUGCCAAAUUCUCCUUCUGUGUAAUGUGGAAGAAAAAAAAUACACUAUGUGCUCCUAGACACUAUAAUUCAGAUUUUUAUUAUGCAGGGAAAAGUGCUUUUGUAGGAAUAAAACCCAUUACCACCAAAAGUCCAAAUAAUUGAAUGUGCUCUAAAGUCAGGUUUUUUCUGUGCAAAUUCAGUAUGCCAGAUAGGGAAGGAAAAACUUAGAGGAAAGGAACAGGCUAUUUCAUAUAGAGCCUGCACUGUCAACUCACAGAAGAAAAUUUUCUUCUAGAAAGGAGAAUUUUAUAUCUUAAGGAAUUAGAAAUGAAUUCAGGCACAAGAUCAUGUAGAACACUCUCAAUUUUCCUACAGGGCUAGACUAGGCAAUGUGAAAGGCAGAAUAGCACCAGUACUUUUCAUACCCAGUUACUCAACAGUUGUGGGAAAAGUCUCCACUGCUCACAGUCUUUAGCCUCUGUGUAAGACCAUAGGUUUUUAAACAGCACCAGCAAUCUCAUGUUUUUAAAGGAGAAAUAGCAAUCCAGGAUAGCAAGUCAGCAACUCACAAGAGUUUCUGCACAAAGGACUGAAAACCUAACAUACUCAUUGGCUGUGUCGAUGGUUACUGGAUUUGCUGUCCAUUGACUUGACCUGACUGUUUAUUUUCUUGUGCUGUGCUGUCUGUACGUCUCCUCACUUGAUGAGAUUGGAAGAAAGAACACAGGGGAAUCUGCUGCUUGAAGUCACUUGAUGUCAAAGCUGCAAGUAGCAGCCCCUAAGGUGUGUGGGAGGCCUCAGGAAAUCACCACUGGAUACUUAAGGAAUUUACUGACCUUGAGAUUGAAGAGAAUACUGAGGAAGGGCAAGAUGUAGAAGAUCUGAGGAACUGCACACACUGACUGACCAAGAGAGAGAGGAAGAACCGUAGGCUUUCUGCAGAAGUAUUCAUCAAGCGGGAAACGCAGCGGAUGGUGUUACAGAGUGCAGGGUGAGAGAACACACAGCUGAGGAAGAUAACAGGAAAAAUAAUGUGUAUUGGUAGAUUAAAGAGUAGAGAACUGAUUAAUUGUGACUUGCAAUGUUGCACAAUGGCAUUACUGCAGGCAAAACAGAGAACAAUUUCUUGAAGGGUGUGAUCAGCAAUAUGGGUUUUUCUCAGAUUUUUAACUUAAAAUGUGCUAUCUUUUUCUUGCAUCAGGCAAGACAGUACAGAUCACAAUUGUAUCAUCUUCAGUAAAAUAGUAAAAGACCCAGUGUCCAAGUGCUGUGAGUUAAUCCUGACGAGCAACUCAGCCACAUGGCCGCCAUCUUGGUCACUUACCCCAGUGGGAUAGAGGGGAGAAUCGGAAAAGUGAGAACACCUGGGGUUGAGAUAGGAAGAGUUUAAUAUGGAAAGGGAAACAAAUCGUGUUUAUGGAAGCAAAGUAAGUAAUUAAUUCACUGGGAGGCAGCUGUUCAGCCAUUUCCAAGAAGGAAGGGCUCCAUCAUGCAUAAGAGUUACUUGGGAAGACAAAUGCUUUAACUCCAAAUGUCUCUCCCACCCUUCCUCCUUCUUUCCCUAGCUUUUUAUUACUGAUCAUGACAUGAUGUGGCAUGGAAUACUUCUUUGGUCAAUUGGGGACAGCUCUUGCAGCUGUGUCCCCACUUUCUUGUAUACCCCGAGCCUGAUUGCUGUUAGGUUGAGGGUGAGAAAUCACAGAAUCACAGAAUGGGUCAGAUGAUCACAGUGGGUCAUCUGCUCAAGCAGGGACAUCCUAGAGCAUGUGGCACAGGAUUGAUCCAGACAAUUCUUGAUCCCCAGCGAGGGAGACUCCACAGCCUCUCUGGACAAUCUGUUCCAGUGCUUGGUCACUCACACAGCAACAAAUUUCUUCCUCACAUUCAGGUGGAACUUUCUGUGCUUCUGUUUCUGGCUGUUGCCCCUUGCCCAAUUGUUUGGCAGCAACGAGGGGAGCUUGAUGCUGCGUAAGCACUGCUCAGCAGUACAGUAACAAAAACACUGUUGUGUUAUCCCUAGUGUUUUGUUUACAAAUGUGAAAAAUAGCAACCUACCAGCUGAUAGGAAGAAAAUUAUUCUUCAGCUCUGUGAAAAGAAAUAGGGGCUCUCCAUGUUAUCUUUUUACUACAAAAUAUGGGAACUUAUGGAGAACUAACUUUGCAAACAAAGGAUAAGGAGAGGAAACCUAGACAUCUGCAUGUGCAAGAGAGGACUAGCAACAUCCUGCAUAUACUUUUUUAUCAUCUUUUUUUUAAUGAUCUGUGGGGAGCUCUCUGUCACACAAAUGGAGCUUCCUUUUCAGUGUGGGACUGGAACUGCCACCAUCAAUAUUGCCAGCUCACGGGGCAGUGAGUGUCACGCAAUGGGGGAAAUGGCUGAAGCAAAACCAACCCCUUAGCACUUCUCCCCUCUGCACUUGCCUUCAGGGAUGCCUUGAAUGAGAGCUCAAAGAUUAUAUAACCUGGCAGCAGCUCUUUAGGCUGGUUUGUGAGCCUACAGUAUCUGCUAUGACUUCUUAUGAGUAAAGCAGAUGUGCUUGUUCAGAGUUAUUUAAAUAUUUCUGUCAUGGAUGUAGCUUCUUUCAGAAGCCAGGAAUCAUCAAAAUUUCACAUUUUUCUCUAAUUAAAACAGUUUCCAAUAAUUAAAUUAUAUGUGUCUGUGUUUCUGCUUCAAAAAGGCUAAAUCAUUGGCAAGCAUCCUAAAGCAGGAUUAGACUGCAGACCAGCUCAGACAAUGCUUCCAGGCAUUGAGGAUGUACUGCAGAAUCAGUUUAAUAAAGUCUGAUUAGUUUACUUUCUCCGGUCAGUUUGAAGCACUGUGGCCAUGGGAUAAAUCAUCUUUUUAUCUCACCAUGCUGCUCUUUUUCUUUGCUGAAUCAUAUUUUAAAAGCACUAAACAUAUUUUUUAAAUAUCUAUUUAUUUACAGAUGCAAAGAAGCAUAACCACAUAAAUUCCCUCUUGUCCCAAUGCUGUUUGAUAUAAUAUCUCAGUUGAAAGGAUUGACUUUGCUCACAAAGUCUGUACUCAGGUUUCCCUUCUUAAUAUAUCUCUUUUUCUUCUACAUAAAUAACCUUGUUAGUAUUACAGGAAAACAGUCCUGAAUCUCUUAUCUUGAUUUGUCAAGAUCUCUGCUUGUACUGAACACUAAGUUAGAUGUUUCUGACAAAUUACUAGUAUAAGCAGGGUGUUGAACUCCAGAUAUUUAUGUUAUAUAUAUACAUAUAC